rnacentral:rRNA from 1 species
GACAGAGGGUGCAAACGUUGUUCGGAAUUACUGGGCGUAAAGCGAGUGUAGGCGGUUCGAUAAGUCGGAUGUGAAAGCCCCGGGCUCAACCCGGGAAGUGCACUCGAUACUGUCGAGCUAGAGUAUCGGAGAGGUUGGUGGAAUUCUCGGUGUAGAGGUGAAAUUCGUAGAUAUCGAGAGGAACACCGGUGGCGAAGGCGGCCAACUGGACGAAUACUGACGCUGAGACUCGAGAGCGUGGGGAGCAAACAGG